rnacentral:lncRNA from 10 species
UCUGAGUCCAUGGCCAGUGAAAAGAACAAGUGGCUCCUGUUUUCAACUUUAGGGGCUGAAUUCUGAAUGGCGCCACUUGCGUUGCCCUGCCUUGGGCUCUGGAAUAGGGGAAAUUAUAGGAAGGGAAGGGAAGAAAGCAAUCGUACCUGAAGAAGAGAGACAUUGGCAAGGCUGAGUCUGAAGAGGUAGUUCCUGUGAAAAUGGAAACAGACAUCCUAAGUGACGCUGGUUCUGCAGGCAGGACCCAGGGAGCAGCCUCCUGGCUUGGGCCUCCUGGGACGCCAGGACUGGGUGCUGAUUGCCUAGGGUCAACCCCUAAGGAGAGCUUUACCUCCAUUUGCUCACUUAAUCUUCACACAACCCUGGGAGGAAAUCCAGGAAGCUCCAAGUUACAGAUGAAGAAGCAAGGCCAGCCAUCUCUCCUGGCUCCACAUCCCGGGGUCCUGAGUCCGAUUUGUUUGUUCAUCUCCUGCAGUCUCUCCAGCAGUCAGUGACUCCAGGUCUGACCUUUCUGUGGCCACCUUUCUGGACCACCCUCUCUCCUCUAACCCAAACGACCCCAUCCACCACCUCACCAUCCCUCUCCCCACAGUCCAGCCUGCACAGGGCUUCCAGACUUAUCAACCUCAAACAGUUUUCACCUUCAGUAACAAAGAGG